rnacentral:rRNA from 1 species
CCAGACUCCUACGGGAGGCAGCAGUGGGGAAUAUUGCACAAUGGGGGAAACCCUGAUGCAGCGGCGCCGCGUGAGCGAGGAAGUAUUUCGGUAUGUAAAGCUCUGUCAGCAGGGAAGAAGAAUGACGGUACCUGAAGAAGAAGCACCGGCUAAAUACGUGCCAGCAGCCGCGGUAAUACGUAUGGUGCAAGCGUUAUCCGGAUUUACUGGGUGUAAAGGGAGCGCAGGCGGUUCUGCAAGUCUGAUGUGAAAGCCCGGGGCUCAACCGCGGGACUGCAUUGGAAACUGCGGGACUGGAGUGUCGGAGGGGUAAGCGGAAUUCCUGGUGUAGCGGUGAAAUGCGUAGAUAUCAGGAGGAACACCGGCGGCGAAGGCGGCCUGCUGGACCGUAACUGACGUUGAGGCUCGAAAGCGUGGGGAGCAAACAGGAUUAGAUACCCGCGUAUG